rnacentral:rRNA from 1 species
GGCGCACGGGUGAGUAACGCGUGGGUUAUCUGCCUUCAAGUUAGGGAUAACACUGCGAAAGCGGUGCUAAUACCUGAUAAGCUCACAGUUUUAUAAACAGUGGGAAAAGGUGGCCUCUGACAUAAGCUAUCGCUUGAAGAUGAGCUCGCGUACCAUUAGCUAGUUGGUAGGGUAAUGGCCUACCAAGGCAACGAUGGUUAGCUGGCCUGAGAGGGCGGCCAGCCACACUGGAACUGAGAUACGGUCCAGACUCCUACGGGAGGCAGCAGUGGGGAAUAUUGCGCAAUGGGGGAAACCCUGACNCAGCGACGCCGUGUGAGUGAUGAAGGUUUUCGGAUCGUAAAGCUCUGUCGGAUGGGACGAAUAAGGGUUGAGUGAAUAAUUCAAUUC